GGUUCGAUGCCACGUCAACGGUAGCCAAAUGUGCAUUGACCGACCGAUGAUGCUAUGAUUGAACCGAUAAUAAACUGUUGUGUGUUUCGCAUGUUAUAGGAACCUGUGAACUGAUUCUUCCUUCAUUCACAGAGCCGUUUAUUGCGAUUACAUUU
rfam:Helianthus annuus linkage group 11, whole genome shotgun sequence.